ACACCUCAACCCUCCAAUGUUUUUGCAUUGCGGGUGUUGGUAGUGAGCGCUGCCGGUCUUUGGAUCGGCUCGCUUUAAAAUCAUUAGCUGGAUCCAUUCUGACCUGGUUCUACUCGGCGUAAUAAGUUAUUAUCGUCGAGGACGCCUGGCCUUGUAGGCAGGGCGGCCACAGUAAGGGUGUUUGAACCGCUUCCAACACGUCUUGCUCUUGUAGCAAACACUUGAAC
rnacentral:misc_RNA from 1 species